ensembl:miRNA cja-mir-182 cja-mir-182
CCUCUCCCCGUUUUUGGCAAUGGUAGAACUCACACUGGUGAGGUAAUGGGAUCCGGUGGUUCUAGACUUGCCAACUAUGGGGCGAGG